AACGAGCGCUGGCGGCAUGCCUAACACAUGCAAGUCGAACGAGACCUUCGGGUCUAGUGGCGCACGGGUGCGUAACGCGUGGGAACCUGCCCUUAGGUUCGGAAUAACUCCCCGAAAGGGGUGCUAAUGCCGGAUAAUGUCUUCGGACCAAAGAUUUAUCGCCUUUGGAUGGGCCCGCGUUGGAUUAGCUAGUUGGUAGGGUAAAAGCCUACCAAGGCGACGAUCCAUAGCUGGUCUGAGAGGAUGAUCAGCCACACUGGGACUGAGACACGGCCCAGACUCCUACGGGAGGCAGCAGUGGGGAAUAUUGGACAAUGGGCGAAAGCCUGAUCCAGCAAUGCCGCGUGAGUGAUGAAGGCCUUAGGGUUGUAAAGCUCUUUUACCCGGGAUGAUAAUGACAGUACCGGGAGAAUAAGCUCCGGCUAACUCCGUG
rnacentral:rRNA from 1 species